rnacentral:rRNA from 1 species
CCUACGGGAGGCAGCAGUGAGGAAUAUUGGUCAAUGGGCGCGAGCCUGAACCAGCCAAGUAGCGUGAAGGAUGACUGCCCUACGGGUUGUAAACUUCUUUUAUAAAGGAAUAAAGUGAGGCACGUGUGCCUUAUUGUAUGUACUUUAUGAAUACGGAUCGGCUAACUCCGUGCCAGCAGCCGCGGUAAUACGGAGGAUCCGAGCGUUAUCAGGAUUUAUUGGGUUUAAAGGGAGCGUAGAUGGGUUGUUAAGUCAGUUGUGAAAGUUUGCGGCUAAACCGUAAAAUUGCAAUUGAUACUGGCAGUCUUGAGUACAGGUGAGGUAGGCGGAAUUCGUGGUGUAGCGGUGAAAUGCUUAGAUAUCACGAAGAACUCCGAUUGCGAAGGCAGCUUACUAAACUGCCACUGACAUUGAUGCUCGAAAGUGUGGGUAUCAAACAGGAUUAGAUACCCCAGUAGUC